UAUGUUGCAAUAGUAAUCCUGCUCAGUCUGAGAGAAACCGCAAGGUCAGACCUCUGGUGCAUGUGCUUGGCUGAAGAGCCACUGGUAUGAGGCUACCAUCUGUGGGCUUAUGACUGAAUGCCUCUAAGUCAGAAUCCCACCUAAGAUACAGUGAUAAAACGUGAGGAAAAUUUUUUUCACUCUGAGGUUGACGGAACCCUGAAACAGGCUGUGCAGGGGGUUGUGGAGUCUCCUGUGGAGAUACUCAAAACCUGCCUGGAUGCAUUCCUGUGUGAGCUGGUAUAGGUGAUCCUGCUCUGUCAGGGCAUUGAACUAGAUGAUCUUUUGAAGUCCCUUCCAACCCCUAACAUUCUUUGA
rnacentral:ncRNA from 1 species